GUGGGGGUUAGGGUUAAGGUUAGGGUUGAGGUCAGGGUCAAGGUUAAGGUUAGGGUUGAGGUCGAGGUUAGGGUCAAGGUCAGGGUUAAGGUCAGGGUUGAGGUCAGGGUCAAGGUUAAGGUUAGGGUUGAGGUUAGGGUUAAGGUUAGGGUCGAGGUUAGGGUUAAGGUUAGGGUCGAGGUCAGGGUUGAGGUUAGGGUCAAGGUCAGGGUUAAGGUCAGGGUUGAGGUUAGGGUCAGGGUUAAGGUCGGGGUUAAGGUUAAGGUCAGAGUCGAGAUUAGGGGCGAGGUCAGAGUCGAGAUUAGGGGCAAGGUCAGAGUCGAGAUUAGGGUCAAGGUCAGGGUCAAGGUCAGGGGCGAGGUCUAUCUGUGGUUUGGGGGAGGGAGGGGUGUUGUUUGUGAAGGUGAGUGCCAGUUUGCACUGUUUCCCCGCCCUGCGACUCUGCUGCUGCUGCUUCCGCUCCUGACUGCCCCCACCAAGAUGGCCGAAUUCACCUUCCAUCCUGGUCUCACUAGCAUCAGUACACUGACUGACCUCACCAACAUGGCUGUCUUCACCAGCUUCCUCACUGCCCUCACCAAUAUGGCUGUCACUAUCAGCACACUGACUGCCCCCACCAAGAUGGCCGACUUCACCUUCCAUCCUGGUCUCACUAGCAUCAGUACACUGACUGACCUCACCAACAUGGCCUCGAUCUACCUUACCAGGAUGGCUUCCCUCUACCUCCACCAAGUCUUCCUCAACUAAACCCCGAGUCGUCCCCCCCUCUACGGCGACCUGGAUGGUCUCUCCCUCCCUCUGCUCCACGGUGUUGGAUUCAACCACCACACAGUCAGGUAAUUCCUCCCGACUCAGGACUCGGUCUUUAUCAGCCUCCCCUCUCCUCCCCCCUGCCUCACCCCUCUCUCCUCCUUCUCCUCCAACUGAAUGGUGUGAGCUCGGGGAGAAGGGGGAGAGGAUGGGGGAAGGGCAGGUGGGCAGAGGGUGGGAGUCAACACCUGUCUGUAAGAGCUCUAGAAGCUUCUGGAACUCUGUGACAUGAGGCCCGCUACCAGGAAGCCCUUCUGAUUGGCUGCCUCUGGGACCUGCCUCCUCCCCCUCAUCAACUCCCUCUUCCUCCCUCCCAGGGCGCUUCCCAUUCCUUCCUCCUCCUCUUCUUCUUUGCUCCAGUACCUCCUCUGAAGGCCAGUCUCCAACAAACUCCAACAACUCAGGCCUCACCCUCUCUCCCCCACCCCUCACCCCCUCUCCCCCAUCCCACACCUGCUCUCCUCCAUCAUUCAUUUCUCCCACCAACGUCCCUCCUCCACCCUCUCUCUCUCCAUCCCCCUCGCUCACUGAAUGGCUAGCGUCCUUCGCUAUGUCAGCAGGCUCCAGCCUAUCAGAGUCCGUCUUCCUAGUUCUGCUCUUCCUCUCUUUCCUCACCCUCUGACCAAUCGACUCGGAGAAAGCCACGGGCCUCUCGUCGUCACCAUCGUCGCGAUCUGCACUAAACACAGAACCCACCAGACAGUGGGGAAUCCUUGUCUCUCCCUCUCCCUCUUCCUCUUCCUCCCCCCUUUUCCCCUCGUCCUCCUCCGGUUGCAACUGUGUGUCCGGUUCAGAGACCAGCGCUCCUAAAUCAAGAAUAUCCUCCUCCUCGUCCGGAAUUCCGUGUUUUUCCGAGUGCUUUUCACUGAGGGAGAGGGACUCUGUGGACCCGUGGGCAGAGCUGUGACCCGGGGUUACG
rnacentral:lncRNA from 1 species